AGCAGCCGCGGUAAUUCCAGCUCCAAUAGCGUAUAUUAAAGUUGUUGCAGUUAAAAAGCUCGUAGUUGAAUUUCGGGAUCAGUAGGUCGGUCAUGCCUCUGGUAUGUACUGGUCUCACUGGUUCCUCCUUCCUGAUGAACCGUAAUGCCAUUAAUUUGGUGUUGCGGGGAAACUGGACUGUUACUUUGAAAAAUUAGAGUGUUUAAAGCAGGCUAACGCUUGAAUACAUUAGCAUGGAAUAAUGAAAUAGGACGUUCGAUCCUAUUUUGUUGGUUUCUAGGAUUGACGUAAUGAUUAAUAGGGAUAGUUGGGGGCAUUAGUAUUCAAUUGUCAGAGGUGAAAUUCUUAGAUUUAUUGAAGACUAACUACUGCGAAAGCAUUUGCCAAGGAUGUUUUCAUUAAUCAAGAACGAAAGUUAGGGGAUCGAAGACGAUCAGAUACCGUCGUAGUCUUAACCAUAAACUAUGCCGACUAGGGAUCGGAUGAUGUUAUUUUUAAUGACUCAUUCGGCGCCUUAAC
rnacentral:rRNA from 1 species